rnacentral:lncRNA from 1 species
AAGCUCCUUUCUAUGAUCUGCGCCUUUGCCAGUACUGCCGAAUAUGUCUCAAGCUCCAUCACCAGUAAGUGCUGUCUGAUCUCCGGGCGGAGACCCCACUGGAAUUUCCUGGCCUUUCGGCCCUCAUCCAACAAUGUCUCCGGGGCAUGUCGGCCCAGCUCCAGGAACUUACGGGCAUACUCCGACACUGUCAUAUUUCCCUGGACCAAUUGAGCAAACUCCAUUUCCUUUAGAUGUUGGAUGUGUUUAGGGAGAUACUCCGCAUGGAAAGCCGCUAGGAACUGCUCCCAAGUAACUGGUGCAGGCAGGGUGGCUCGCUUGAGCUCCCACCAGUGUACUGCUUCCCCUACCAGCAUGUAAGAGGCAAUGGCAGCCCUCUGCUCAGGAACUACUCCCAAGGUCUCGAAAGCUCUCUCAGUCUCUGCCAGCCAGUAUUGGGCCUCUUCGAAAGAGGAUCCCCCUGAAAAAGUAGAAGGGUUCAGUCUU